AGUGAACGCUGGCGGUAGGCCUAACACAUGCAAGUCGAACGGCAGCACAGUAAGAGCUUGCUCUUACGGGUGGCGAGUGGCGGACGGGUGAGGAAUACAUCGGAAUCUGCUUUUUCGUGGGGGAUAACGUAGGGAAACUUACGCUAAUACCGCAUACGACCUACGGGUGAAAGCAGUGGAUCUUCGGACCUUGCGCGAUUGAAUGAGCCGAUGUCGGAUUAGCUAGUUGGCGGGGUAAAGGCCCACCAAGGCGACGAUCCGUAGCUGGUCUGAGAGGAUGAUCAGCCACACUGGAACUGAGACACGGUCCAGACUCCUACGGGAGGCAGCAGUGGGGAAUAUUGGACAAUGGGCGCAAGCCUGAUCCAGCCAUACCGCGUGGGUGAAGAAGGCCUUCGGGUUGUAAAGCCCUUUUGUUGGGAAAGAAAAGCAGCAGGUUAAUACCCCGCUGUUCUGACGGUACCCAAAGAAUAAGCCCCGGCUAACUUCGUG
rnacentral:rRNA from 1 species